ensembl:snoRNA
AGUCAGCGAUGUGACGGCACGUAUUAGCCGAAUCCAGAGUUGAUGUAAAUUCUAAAAUGACAGUGACCUU